UCAUGUUACGGCCAUGAGAAGACCCCUCUAACAGGAAGUCACCCAGUGGGACACCAAGUUGUCUCUUGCUAGCUCAGGCCCUGAGCUCUGCUCACCCUCAGGGUGAAUCUCAUGCGCACAUACACACUGUGGAAACAUUGGUUAAACUCCAGCUGAACUUAACAUCAAUAUCCUCAUGGCCUCGCCAUGCUAAUAAGAGAAGCGCGCUGCUUGUGGUGAGUUCUCAUGGGCCGCUGAGGAAGAGCGCUGUGGCCCUUUUUGUGACCUGAAGGCCAAAGCAGCCCCGGGGGAGUCCAACAGGAGACACAACAAAGAACCAUUUAUUUCCAGCUAGCAGGAUGAAGGCUUUGUGGAUUAUGAAUGAGGCUGUCUGCUUUCCCCCAGCUGUUCUCCAUUACAGAGCCAUCGUGUGUGUGAUACGAGCCAGAGCUCAGCCAAAGCUUAAGCCCUGCCAGGUAGCGGUGAUGAGACCCAGGGUUCAGGUGCGUGUGAGUAAAGUCAAGAGCUGUAACCAUUACUUUCCUGGCACUGAGCCAAUGAUGAAAACAGGAGAUUUGACUUCUCUAAACUGUUUGGGCCAGUUUUAUGAAACUGUGUAAAUCAGUGAGGAUAGAGACAGAACAAAUGAGAAAUUGAGGACGGGGGAGAAAGAGACAGAGGUGGAAGGUCACUACCAUGUUUUUUCUACUUCUACAGUCGAGACGACUUGAAUGAGCAAUCAUUUUGUUUUAAAAUGAACAGAUGUUCAAUAAUAUAAUAGAGCAUUUCCAUUUGUUCAGCUAAUUCAAAGGGUUUGUGAAUGAAGGGUUUGUAUUAGCUCGAGAUAGUAUGCUUGUUCUUUACUUUUCUUUUCUUUUUUUAUUAUAAUUAAUAAAUAUAAAAGUAUAUGUUGUUGUUGUCUUUAUUAAUUCUGUUUUUUGCUUAGACAUCUUUGUACAUAUGUAAAACCAUAGGUAAAGCCCCAUGUAAAGCCCCAAUGACAUAUGACUGUCAUUACCAAUCAAAAUGCAUGUUAAUUUAAAUGCAAUGUGUGGACUUUUUACACGGCCCCUUACCCACCAUUUGUCCUAUUUCCAUUUAGUAAAACUCAUUUUUUUUAUUAACGACUACA